rnacentral:rRNA from 1 species
AGACACGGUCCAGACUCCUACGGGAGGCAGCAGUGGGGAAUAUUGGACAAUGGGCGAAAGCCUGAUCCAGCCAUGCCGCGUGUGUGAAGAAGGUCUUCGGAUUGUAAAGCACUUUAAGUUGGGAGGAAGGGCAGUUACCUAAUACGUGAUUGUUUUGACGUUACCGACAGAAUAAGCACCGGCUAACUCUGUGCCAGCAGCCGCGGUAAUACAGAGGGUGCAAGCGUUAAUCGGAAUUACUGGGCGUAAAGCGCGCGUAGGUGGUUUGUUAAGUUGNAUGUGAAAGCCCCGGGCUCAACCUGGGAACUGCAUCCAAAACUGGCAAGCUANAGUAUGGUANAGGGUGGUGGAAUUUCCUGUGUAGCGUUGAAAUGCGUNANAUAUANGNAGGAACACCNGUGGNGAAGGGGACCCCCUGGGACUGAUACUUGACACUGAGGNGNGAAANGNGGGGGGANCCANNCNGAUUANANNCCUUGGNAUNCCCCCNCCGUA